UGAUCCCAGAGCAUUCUCAUCCAAAAGGAAGGAAAUGAGGAUGGGUAGAAGGCAGGCCACCAGCUGAGAGCCUGGGAAGUAAACACAGGAGCGCUUCUGAAGACAUGGGAUAAUUGUUACUUCUGGACUGGCAGACAAGCAAACUGAACAGCAGCUUCCAAGGAGCUGUCAUUACCUGGGUCCCAAGAGUCAAGAACUGUUGUUAAAGCACUACGGAGAAGGUC